UGCCUGAAACGGCACCAUCCAGGCCCAUCGGGCUGAGGGCUUAAUGGGCCGUGUCUGGCAUGGCCCAUUUAAACAAAAUCAAGCUUGGCAUGGCCCUAGGCUCAGGGGUGGCGGGCCGUGCCUAGCAUGGCUCAUUGGCCUAUUAGGCCCAUGGGACUGAUGGGUCUUUUUUUAUUUCUUUUAAAAAAAGAUCAUGAUGGGCCGUGCCUAACACAGUUUGUUUGGUUCGUUAUAGGCCAAAAAAAAAUAUUUCCUCAUCUUUUUUAUAUUUAUUCCCAG
rnacentral:lncRNA from 1 species